rnacentral:rRNA from 1 species
CGUCCUAUUAGCUAGUUGGUGAGGUAAUGGCUCACCAAGGCUACGAUGGGUAGGGGUUCUUAGUGGAAGGUCCCCCACACUGGCACUGAGAUACGGGCCAGACUCCUACGGGAGGCAGCAGUAGGGAAUAUUGGUCAAUGGGCGCAAGCCUGAACCAGCCAUGCCGCGUGCAGGAUGAAGGCUCUCUGAGUUGUAAACUGCUUUUGUACAGGAGCAAAAAAAUCCCUGCGGGGGUUCUUGAGAGUACUGUAAGAAUAAGCACCGGCUAAUUCCGUGCCGGCAGCCGCGGUAAUACGGGAGGUGCAAGCGUUAUCCGGUUUUAUUGGGUUUAAAGGGUGCGUAGGCGGCUUAUUAAGUCAGUUGUGAAAUCCUAGUGCUUAACGCUAGAACUGCGAUUGAUACUAUU